AGCAGCCGCGGUAGUUCCAGCUCCAAUAGCGUAUAUUAAAGUUGUUGCAGUUAAAAAGCUCGUAGUUGAAUUUCGGGGUUCAUACAUUGGUCGGGCUUUUUGGUCUGUACUUAUGUAAUGGAUUCCUACCUUCUGAAUAACCAGCAUGCCAUUAAUUUGGUGCGCCGGGGAAGCAGGACUGUUACCUUGAAAAAAUUAGAGUGCUUAAAGCAGGCUAUCGCCUGAAUACAUUAGCAUGGAAUAAUGAAAUAGGACGGCAUGGUUCUAUUUUGUUGGUUUCUAGGAUCACCGUAAUGAUUAAUAGGGAUAGUUGGGGGCAUUAGUAUUCAAUUGUCAGAGGUGAAAUUCUUGGAUUUAUUGAAGACUAACUUCUGCGAAAGCAUUUGCCAAGGAUGUUUUCAUUAAUCAAGAACGAAAGUUAGGGGAUCGAAGACGAUCAGAUACCGUCGUAGUCUUAACCAUAAACUAUGCCGACUAGGGAUCGAACGAUGUUAAUUUUUUAAUGACUCGUUCGGCGCCU
rnacentral:rRNA from 1 species